UACGUAGGGGGCAAGCGUUGUCCGGAUUUAUUGGGCGUAAAGAGCGUGUAGGCGGCCUGACAAGUCUGCUGUGAAAACUCGAGGCUCAACCUCGAGAUGUCGGCGGAAACUGUCUGGCUAGAGUCCGGAAGAGGAGAGUGGAAUUCCUGGUGUAGCGGUGAAAUGCGUAGAUAUCAUGAGGAAUACCAGAGGCGAAGGCGGCUACCUGGACAAUUGCUGACGCUCAGGCACGAAAGCGUGGGGAGCAAAAGGG
rnacentral:rRNA from 1 species